rnacentral:tRNA from 1 species
UAUGAGGUGGCUGAAAUAGUGUAAGUUUUUUAAAUUUAUUAUAGUGUAAAACUUCUCAUGA